CCCCCCCCCUCGCAUAAAGACGCGUGUCUGAACACUGGCAUGUGCAGAACUGUACGGCUUUCAAAUCUGACCCCAAAGCAGGAUUGUCACCUGCCCAUAUGCAACGGCUGACUUUCCAGUCUCCCAAGUUUUCAUCAUAACAAGGACCACUUCCUUACCUGAUUAGGCGUACUUUGAUUGUGUGAGCUCAGCUAAAAGUCACAACCCCUGUCGUCUGUUCCCUACUAAUUUUACCAACAACCAUGGCCGUCCAACAUACCGUAGUUGUGGCCCAGCCAACAAUGGCCACCUCAUGGCCUCAGAAUCUGAAGACUAAUCAGUGGAGCAGUGGCAUCUGUGACUGUUGUGACGAUAUGGGCAUAUGCUGUCAUGGCUUUUGGUCUCCCUGGACCCUCUCAUGCACCACAACCAGUGACUUUGGAGAGUGUUGCUGUCUCCCCCUGCUGGACUGUUGCGGUGGGGGAAUCAUACCUCCUGUCGCUCUGGCCAUGAGAACCGCUAUGAG